rnacentral:misc_RNA from 1 species
GACAAUGAUUGUUAUAUGAAGAUAGGUGUUACUCACAGGUUGUUGGAUAUUCUAAUGUAUACUUGGUUGGUUCUCCUUCAGAUAGAUGAUCUACUUUAGGAUAUUGUAUCUUGAUUGGGGAAAAUUAAUAUCCUGAAAAAGUAAAGAGCAUAAUGUAAUUGGUCAAGUGCAAAAGCAGAAAUCGAGCUAUGAUUUUAGAAACAUAUGAGCUUAUCUAGUUGAAACAACUUCAAGAAUUAAAUUGUGGGAAUAUCAAACAGAUGAAGUUGAUCUAUGAUAAUCAAGUAGCGG